rnacentral:rRNA from 1 species
UACGUAGGUGGCAAGCGUUGUCCGGAAUUACUGGGUGUAAAGCGCGUGUAGGCGGGAGGCCAAGUCUGCUGUGAAAUCGCCCGGCUCAACUGGGCGGGGUCGGUGGAAACUGGUCACCUGGAGGACGGUAGAGGCGAAUGGAAUUCCCGGUGUAGUGGUGAAAUGCGUAGAGAUCGGGAGGAACACCAGUGGCGAAGGCGGCUCGCUGGGCCGGACCUGACGCUGAGACGCGAAGGCGUGGGGAGCGAACGGG